rnacentral:rRNA from 1 species
UACGGAGGGUGCAAGCGUUAUCCGGAAUCACUGGGUUUAAAGGGUGCGUAGGCGGCUUAAUCAGUCAGAAGUGAAAUCCUCUCGCUUAACGGGAGAAUUGCUUUUGAUACUGUUAGGCUUGAAUUAGGCUGAGGUCAGCGGAAUGAGUCAUGUAGCGGUGAAAUGCAUAGAUAUGACUUAGAACACCAAUUGCGAAGGCAGCUGGCUAGACCUAUAUUGACGCUGAGGCACGAAAGCGUGGGGAGCGAACAGG